CGCCCUCCUUCACCAGCGGCUUGUGGAACUCGCGGCCGGCCCGGGAGUGGAUGCUGGCCCAGCAGAACUCGCAGUAGUACUGCAGGCAGGGGAACCGUUCAAUAUUUAGCAGCCCAACGCACUGAGUGACGGGGUUUUGUGCAGGAAAGAAAAAAGAGAAACUUUCUCAGACUUUCUGCGUCAUUUAAUGCCGAGAGCAGAGACCUCCUUCAAGGUCAGAGCGACAGAAAACCGAUUCAACAUCCAUCUAACGAAUUAGAGGCACCAAAAAAAGACAAAGAUUCAGCUGAGAUGUAAACAUCAGUGGAAAUGGAUAAAAACUAAACAUUUAUAUCUUCCGCUUCUUUUAUUCACAAUGUCAUUUUGUUCCUCUUCAUUAAAAUUGGUAAAUUACCAUCUAAUCUCCUCCUGA